UAGCCAUCCUAUUUGCACACAUGAUUCCAUUUUAGUGCUAGAAAAAAACGCUAGAGAAGGACCCCAUGGAUAAGUACCUAUUUGUUAAAGGAACAAUAGCAAACCACACCUACACCUUCACAUCCAUAUACUACCCUAAUCGGAAACCUCUUUUCCUUCAUAAAACUAUAUAUAUCUCCUAGAAAAAUUCAGGAAAGGCCUAGUGAUACUAGCUUAACAUGCCCCUAGACCCCAGACUGGACACUUCUAAAGGCCAUUGCACCAUUCCCACACACUCUGUCCGGCAAGCUAGGGUAGCUUUAAGCAACGCGGGGCAGGUUGACUUCUGGAGGGUUGCACGCCCCGAUGAUCGAGACUACACCUGCUACUUCACCCCCACAAACAAUACAGCCGGAUCGACUACCACUUCAUGGCGCAGGAAUAUCUUGAGCAACUGAUCGCCUCAGAGAUCAAAACUAUUGGCGAAUCAGACCACGCCCCGGGUUAAAUCCCCUCCGUUUAAACCCCGCAAACUCCAAUGGAAACUGAACAAAAAUAUGCUGAGCAAUCCAGAAGACAUCGAACAAACAACACAAAUGCUCACACAAUACUUCGAUGAAUGAAACACUAGGUAUGACCUCAUUGACAAUAUGGGAAGCACACAAAUGUAUGGUCCGAGGCCAUUAAAUAGCAGUCGGUACCUGACGCAAAAAGGAAAGGAUAGAGUGUAC